rnacentral:rRNA from 1 species
GACGAACGCUGGCGGCGUGCUUAACACAUGCAAGUCGAACGGAAAGGCCUGCUUUCCCUUGUGGAUUGCGGGUACUCGAGUGGCGAACGGGUGAGUAACACGUGAGUGAUCUGCCCCCAACUUGGGUAUAAGCCUGGGAAACUGGGUCUAAUUCCCGAUAGGACUGCAGGGUGGUGCCUGUGGUGGAAAACGAUUUUCUAGUGGUUGGGGAUGAGCUCGCGGCCUAUCAGCUUGUUGGUGGGGUAAUGGCCUACCAAGGCGGCGACGGGUAGCCGGCCUGAGAGGGUGGACGGCCACAUUGGGACUGAGAUACGGCCCAGACUCCUACGGGGGGCAGCAGGGGGGAAUAUGGCACAAUGGGCGGAAGCCUGAUGCAGCGACGCCGCGUGGGGGAUGACGGCCUUCGGGUUGUAAACUCCUUUCGACCGCGAGGAAGCCACCUGGUUGGAAGGGUGGUGACGGUAGUGGUAGAAGAAGCACCGGCUAACUACGUG